GUGGGUAACCUACCCUGUACACACGGAUCACAUACCGAACGGUAUGCUAAUACGGGAUAAUAUAUUUGAGAGGCAUCUCUUGAAUAUCAAAGGUGAGCCAGUACAGGAUGGACCCGCGUCUGAUUAGUUAGUUGGUAAGGUCACGGCUUACCAAGGCGACGAUCAGUAGCCGACCGGAGAGGGUGAUCGGCCACAUUGGAACAGAGACACGGUCCAAACUCCUACGGGAGGCAGCAGUGGGGAAGAGUGCACAAUGGGCGAAAGCCUGAUGCAGCAACGCCGCGUGAGGUAUGAAGGCCUUCGGGUCGUAAAACUCUGUCCUCAAGGAAUAUAAUGACGGUACUUGAGGAGGAAGCCCCGGCUAACUACG
rnacentral:rRNA from 1 species